GGUGUAAAUGUAGGCAAAAUUUUAAUUAAACUUGGUCAAACUUUAACGGCAUGGGAGCGGUGACAACGACAGGUCACGGCUCGUUCUGGCUGCGGUAGCGUUCGUCAGGUGGUCCAAAAAUCUCGAUGUAAUUUUUAUUAAGUUCGAGCUGUUUUGUACUGCCGAUGAACUUUUAUAACUAGGUGAUUCCCCCGCGAGUUGCUGCGGGAACUUAAAUAUGGUACUCAACGAAAAUCAAAACAGAAAUAUAGAACACUUUAAGAGUUGUUUUUGAUGCAGAUGAGAAAAUUUUCAGUGGAACACUUUAAGAGUUGUUUUCGAUGCAAAUGACAAAAUUUUCACUGGAUUUGACACUUCAAACAUUGUAUAUAUCCCAAUAAUCCUAGUUGUCUAUACUAACUUGAGUUCAAGUAAUAAACUCUGGUAAAAAAAAAGGAAAAAUCAACAGCCAGGUGUGUCUCGUGUUGGGCGUUGUCUUUUCCAAGGCCAAGGCCCAACCGUCCAGGUAAGUGCUGACAGAUUAAUAUAGAUAGGCCUAAGUGGGCUGGGCCGUUGGGAAUUAAAUAUGUAGAUAGAUUAGGAGGCUGGAGGCGCAUCGUUGGGCAAAAAUGGAUCCCGAUGCCUUCGUCUUCGUGGGCACGCUCGCCUUCAGAUCAAGCAGUCUGCCACAUGAGGCUGCUGGAGCAGCGAGAGGAUGAACCUCACUGCU
rnacentral:lncRNA from 1 species